CGACAAGUCACCAGUAAACUACCGAUGAUCAAAGCUAAGGUGUAUGGACGAACGAGCCUAUGAGUGAGACACAUAAUGCCACGAUUUGAUAGGGAUGGCUACGCAGUCAAUCCGAGUUGGGAUUCGAGGCGAACAGACGAAUGAGUUGCUCUGGAGAAAGUUGAUAAGGCACUUCUUGGAAUCGCAUUCAGGAUUUCGGCUGAUCAAGUGGUGUAACUAAGCCAAGCAUGGAAUGUGAGGUUCCUUGGUCUACUGUAUAAGGACAAGAUUUGUCAGUAUCCUACUUCUGUCCCAUUUACGAGUCAACUUGGCUCCACAGGGACGUGAUGGAACUCGAGGAGCGACAGAGAGGGUCCACGAGGGACUAGCCGAUCUUGGGAGACGGGCAGUUCAAGAUUGUUAUUUUAGGGUACUUUUUUACCAAAUGACAAAAAUCGAGGUCACUUUUCCUGCCCCUUGCCAAUGAGAGAUCCAUACCCCGUCGACCCUUGAGUAAAAAAGCACCUACAGGGUAAAGUUCCUAAAUAGUAAUUUGACCUCCUUUCCUGUGUGUUUUUGUGCAAUGAAAGAAAUUCACUCCAGACAAGAGCAUAAGCGAGCUAUCUUUGAUCUGAUGGGAAUGCCUAUGGUGAAAACAACUGAGCCUUGCCCUCUCUCAAAUGCAAUUCGGACAGCCGUCCAAGUUUGUUGCGAUUCAGAACAAGUUGCAUUCAUGUUCAGAGUAGGUUCAACUUCCAUAACGAAUGGCCUCUGACGAUCAUCAUCAUUGUAGCUCGAAAGCCAGAAAACAAGUCGACAACGAAAAAGCACAUUUCUAGGGAAAAUGGCAAGAAAACGGAAAGAAAUGAUCUUAUACUGGGACGUUUCGCAGGCAACAAACCUUUCGACGUUAACCUCGAACCCCCGCCCCCC